rnacentral:rRNA from 1 species
UACGUAGGGACCAAGCGUUGUUCGGAUUUACUGGGCGUAAAGCGCGCGUAGGCGGUUUGUUAAGUCGGAUGUGAAAUCCCUGGGCUCAACCUAGGCAUUGCAUCCGAUACUGGCUAACUAGAGUGUGGGAGAGGAAGGUAGAAUUCCAGGUGUAGCGGUGAAAUGCGUAGAGAUCUGGAGGAAUACCGAUGGCGAAGGCAGGUCUCUGGGUUGACACUGACGCUCAUGCACGAAAGCGUGGGGAGCAAACAGG